GUCCUAGGUUGGCUGUCUACUAUACAUGUAGACAAACAUCCUUCAUAGAUGUUUAUAGAAAUGUAAAGAUAUAUAUUCAAUUCUGAAUUGUUUGCCAAUUAUUGGAUAGGUAUUUCUACUGUCUACUAUUCUCUUGAAAGAGUUUAAAGGCUUCUAGGGGAAAUAUACACAGGUAUACUUCAUGUCUGGAUGAAACAAUGGCAGAUUAAUUGAAAAUAAGCUCAGUUAAGCUAGCCAUUAAAUGUAUGAGUGAGGUAAUUGUCAAGAAGUAAAAACAAGUUUUGUUAAUCUCUAAAAAAAUCUCCAUUUAUGGGGCCCCUGGGUGGCUCAGUGGGUUAAGCAUCUGACUUCGGCUCAGGUCAUGAUCUCGCAGUCCGUGAAUUCAAGUGCCGCAUCGGGCUCUGUGCUGACAACUCAGAGCCUGGAGCCUGCUUCAGAUUCUAUGUCUCCCUCUCUCUGCUCGUCCCCCACUCACGCUCUGUCUCUCUCUGUCUCUCAAAGAUGAAAAAAUGUUAAAAAAAAAUUUUUUUUAAAUCUCCAUUUAGAAAUGUUAUGGUAUACUCUCUUUUUUAGUGAAAAUACCCGCACGAGCUCCUUCUUGGCUUCUAAAAAGAUAUGUAAGCUCCCAAAAUAAGAUUCACAGGCUCAGCAAAGACCAACAAAGACAAUUGGUAGAAACUGGUGAGAAGUCAAUCCAGGAAAUAAUUCAGCCCAAGAGCACUGAUUUGUAUGGAAACUCUUUCAAAGUGACAUCCUUCAAGUGUCCUAUGAGCACACAAAUUCCCAGUUGGACUGAGAAGACAAGGAUCCCAAGAGGAGGUGUUUUGGGUUUUUUCUUAUUGUUUCAGAUUUUAAUAAAUACAAAGGUUGUUUUCACUGUAUCAUUAAUAAAUCCUAUGAAGUUUGGAUUAUGAGAACUGCUUUUAUAAACAGGAUUAAUAGCCAUUUUAUUCCUGAUUCUGAAAAAUAUUUGCUUAAUUUCUAUAUGAGUCUAUUACAGAAAAAAAUUAUUUCAGUUUAAUAUAGCUUUGAAAAAAAACCUAAUUGCCUUAUUCCCAAUACCCCCUUGUUAUUGGUGUCCUUUCCAUACUAUAGAAUAAAAAAGUAAUGAACUGAUACACAUGACAUGAAUGAAUCUCAGAAUCAUUGUGUUAAGUACAAGAAGACAGAUACAGAAAAGUAAAUGCUAUAUGAAAUCUCAUGUAUAUGAAAUGCAAAGUAACUCACAGAGACAAAAAAAAAAAACAAAACAGAUAAGGGUUUCCUGGAGGAAGAAGGGACAGAGAAGGAGAUGAAGGCAAG